rnacentral:lncRNA from 1 species
UAGCUCGGGAAGCAGACUCAGAGAGGGUGUGUGGCUUGCCCCAGGUCACACAGCGGGGCAGGGGCCCAGGGCCUAGCCUGCCAGUCCUGUUUCUGCCCCCAUCCUGGGGUUCUGGUGCAGGGUCUCCUGCCUGUGCUGACCAGCAGUAUUCAUGAGGUGCUGGACUGACAGCUCGGGUCGUGUUGUGUAAGCUGGCUUCGGUGCCUGACGAGAAUCCCAACGCCACCACCUCCUUGGGCCACUCAUCUGACCUCACC